AGUGAACGCUGGCGGCAGGCCUAACACAUGCAAGUCGAGCGGCAGCGCGUCCGACCACCCUCGGGUGGUCGGAUGGCGGCGAGCGGCGGACGGGUGAGGAAUGCAUCGGAAUCUGCCUCGUUGUGGGGGAUAACGUAGGGAAACUUACGCUAAUACCGCAUACGACCUACGGGUGAAAGUGGGGGACCUUCGGGCCUCACGCGAUGAGAUGAGCCGAUGCCGGAUUAGCUAGUUGCGGGGUAAAGGCCCACCAAGGCGACGAUCCGUAGCUGGUCUGAGAGGAUGAUCAGCCACACUGGAACUGAGACACGGUCCAGACUCCUACGGGAGGCAGCAGUGGGGAAUAUUGGACAAUGGGGGCAACCCUGAUCCAGCCAUGCCGCGUGAGUGAAAAAGGCC
rnacentral:rRNA from 1 species